AGAAUAUAUCACUACAAGAAUGGUUUAACUGGAUGGCCGAGUAGCCUAUAAAGGAAGGUCUUGUCGUCUAAAGUUUUAUUCUAGAACACGUGAUAAAAAUAAAUGUGCUAUGUUGAGCGCAGGUUUUCAACCACGAAGCGA